AACGUAGGAGGCAAGCGUUAUCCGGAUUUACUGGGCGUAAAGCGCGUGUAGGCGGUACAGAAAGUUGGAUGUGAAAGCUCCUGGCUUAACUGGGAGAGGUCGUUCAAAACUACUGAACUAGAGUAUGGGAGAGGGAGGUGGAAUUCCGGGUGUAGUGGUGAAAUGCGUAGAUAUCCGGAGGAACACCAGUGGCGAAGGCGGCCUCCUGGCCCAAAACUGACGCUCAGACGCGAAAGCUAAGGUAGCAAACGGGAUUAGAGACCCCGGUAGUCUUAGCUGUAAACGAUGUAGACUUGGCGUUGGUGGUGUUAAAUCCAUCAGUGCCGAAGCAAACGCGAUAAGUCUACCGCCUGGGGACUACGGCCGCAAGGUUAAA
rnacentral:rRNA from 1 species